GUCCUCGUAGCUUACGCACCCUAAAGCAUGACACUGAAGAUGUCAAGACGGCCUCCCAUAUGCC
rnacentral:tRNA from 1 species